UUAGUUCCCCAGUGUUGGUCCUUUGCGUCUGUAGGAUAGUCAGACAGUAGUUGUCCUCAAGUGUGUGAGAAGUUUUCAUUCAUCAGACACUAUGAGUGGGAAGGCUCUUUAUGUACAUCUCACAGAGAAGGAAAAAAAAAAUCUAGAAUGGGAAGACUGAAAAGAUCAAGAUCGGCCUACCACCCCAACCUGGCAGGGCUCCCUGCUGAGACCCUCUGGUGGUCUCAGAGAUAAGGUUCAAAAGGAGUUUAUCCCCAGACUGCAGUGGGACAGCAAGAACCUAAGUAGCCUCCGGCCUUAGCUCCACCCCUACCCCGCAGUUACCUUCUAGAUAAAGGAGAGUUUGUGACAUCAGAAAACCUGGCAACUACACUAAAGACACGCCCCACCGCUGCCACCACAGCCUCUUAAGCCUGACUUUGAAGACUGUCCAUAAUAGACACAGGCUGGGUGCUUGUAGUUAGCCCCACGGCUAGAGUCUGCUGAGCAGAUGACAGAGGCAUUUCUGAAACUUUGGGAGGGUCUCUAUGAGGAAUCCAUCUCACUCCUGCUCAACCACCGCAGGCAAUGGCCAGUUAAGGUGACAACUGCCUGUUCCCAGCCACACUCUCAGCCUGUCCAUUGCUGCUGCCCUGUGUUCCCAGCUAGUGGAGCGAUGUCCUUUUCCCAUCCAACUUUUAGGCACCUGGUAUACCCAGUCCUGCCUGAUGUAAAACCGCAGAAGCAUAUGGUCUCCUAAGGGCCUCGUGUAAAAUUUGCAGUCUUUUCCUGGUCUAUGAAACCACAGUGGUCUCCCCAGAUUCCGCACUACAUUCUGUUCUUCUGGGAGCCCCCACAGCCUGCAACACCUCAUGCCAUUAGAGAAUUACUAUGCUACUCCAUUUAUACAGGAGGACACUAUUAAAUUUUGGGAGACCCAACUCAUUUUUCCAUCACCCCAAAUGCCUGGAACCUAUGCGGUCCCAGUUGCCAAAGUGCUUCCAUGAAAGCACAGAUGUUCUCUCAAAAACAAGACACCACGUUCCAGACUGCUCCCGGUGCACGUGUGGAGCCUAUAUUUCCUAGGGGAAAGAGGCCACUGGCUACAUUGCCCAGCUGCACCGGGAAGACCCUGGAGGUGGUUUCUUGGGGGAGGGAUUCCCCUAAAACACUCUGGAAACGGCGGUACUUUUGAGCUCUACAGCACACACGUAUCGCACACGUUCAGGUGUUCGAGCCUGAGCACGUGAUGGAGGAAGGGCACCCCUGUGUGUCACACCCACACCAGCACCAUCCAGGUUCACCUGGACUCUGGGAGAUGAUAAUAGGAAACCAGGAGACACUGAAAUCUGGAUCCUGGCCCCAAUCUCACCAUCCUCAAGGCCCACAUACUUGCCUCUGAACUAAGAAGUACUGGCCACCAGAGCAGGUCACAGGUACUUGAAUGUCCACAGAUAAGGAUUUGUGUGGUGAAAUAAAACCUCCCUUCACUUGCUCUCCCAUCACAUCACCCCUGUGAAGAAUUUCACUUUGACCUGCAGAGGGUCGGCCCAGGGUUGGAAGUUGCCAGGCUUAUAAUUAAGGGGUAGCUCCUGCAGGAGCAGCAAGGAUUUGCUUGGCUCACUUAAAACUUCCCUGCCCCAGCUCCUGCUCUGCUUGCAUACCCUUUGGCCCUCCUGCCUCCCCCACCUCCUCACGCAGCUCUUCAACUUGCAUGGCUUUCUUGGGAGGUUUGUAAGUGUUGGACACAAACCUAUAUCAGCUUCAGCAUAUGUGGAAGAUCAGGAUGUGGCCAUGAGAGUGUAAGAUGCUGCGGUCUGUGGAGCAGAGAAAAAGGACCUCAGUUAGAGAUGUGUUCUACACAAGUGGACUCACACUGUCCCCAUCCCCUCCCCUUUGCCAUACGUAGGUCAGGGUUGCACAACCAUGGUGCAUUAGAUGAGGGAGAUCAUGCAAACCCAAAGAUAAACAAGUCAGAGACAAAAUAUAGCACACAGCCCUGAACAAGCCCCUAGAGACCCAAGACAUGACCCAGUGCAGCAUCUCUCUGCUAAGCAAACUAAGAGCUAGGGCUUCUGCAUGCAUUGUCUUCACAGCCUUGGCAAUGACCCCCCAAAGGCAGGCCUUGUCAGCCCACUAAACAGAUUACUCGGGUGCCUGGGAUCGGGGUGAGUGAGGUGGCAAUUGAACCCAGAAACUGGGUGAUUGGGAUGAAAUGGGCUUUCUCACCAGCAGUCCCGUGAUCAGUGCAGCCAUGUUCAGUGGUUAGUUACACAGGUCAUGACAAGGUUCACUGACUCUCGUGAACCACCUGCUUUUAGGGCUCCAGAAGAUUCACCGGGAGCUCAUUACUUCCAAAGGCAAGGUCCUCGUAUGUCCAGAAAGACCAUUUUAGAGAAAGUCCUCAAACUAUGGAGGGAAAUGUGAAGCCCAGGAAUUCUGUUGCCCUGGGAAGCAGGGUUCUUGCCCCAACUGUUUAGAAUCAGACAGAAAGCCAAUGGGGAGGCUUGGAAUGACCACCAAGGUCAGACCAGACAGAACAACUUGCCUGGAGUCCAAGGUGAGGGAGCUCAUGCCUUGUUGCCACACCCGGGAGGACACGUGUGGUGGCUCUCUCACCCCCAUGCUUGGUUUGAAAUGAACAUUCUAGAAGAGGAGGAAUAGAUACCUAGUCUAGACCAGCUGUAUGUGACUGGAUUUUGCAAGGAGCCCCACACUAAGGCUGGAUACUUGCCUCACCCCAGCCAAGGAUGGAACAGAGUCAGGCCGUGAGCUGGGUCCUUCUGAAGGAAGAGGAGACUUGGCUCCAUGUCACAUGGAAACAUCUUCUAUUUGAGUAUCUUCCCCAAUCCUACAAGGUGAGCACAAUGACACCUGUUACAGGUAGAAGCAACAAGGCUCAGAGAAGUGACGGGCUGAGCAAGACCUUGCCGUUGGUGUGAGAUGGACCCCUGUUUCUGCCUCUAGAGCCUGGGCUGGUCUGCUGAAACGAGAGCCAACAGGACCUGAGUUGGUUUGUUGUCCUUGAGAGCUUCUGUGGUAGCUCUGGGCCUUCAUGCAUAGGCUCUGUUUUGGGCUGAACUUGGCAGAAGACAAACUAUCAUCCUAAUGUGA